UUGAUUCAUUUGUUUAUGAUUCCACUCAGACAUGCUAUAAAAAAGAUACAAGAGUUUGGGUCCCCCGGCGGGCGCCUGGGUCCGGGCCUCCCCCCCCGGGGGGGUUCGGGCGCCGGGGCGGUCCGCCGAAGCAACGUGAGGUAAGUUCACAGGGGUUUGGGAGUUGAUAACUCGGUAAUGAUCCCUCCGCUGGUUCACCAACGGAGA
rnacentral:misc_RNA from 1 species